GACGAACGCUGGCGGCGUGCCUAACACAUGCAAGUCGAGCGGUCCGGCAUUUAACAUUGAGUAUUCAGAUGAAUCUGAGUAUUGAAUGUUAAAUGUCGGAUAGCGGCGGACGGGUGAGUAACGCGUGGGUAACCUGCCUUAUACAGGGGGAUAACACAGGGAAACUUGUGCUAAUACCGCAUAAUAUCAUUGUAUGGCAUCAUGUGAUGAUCAAAGGAGCAAUCCGGUAUAAGAUGGACCCGCGUCCAAUUAGCUAGUUGGUGGUGUAACGGACCACCAAGGCGACGAUUGGUAGCCGAACUGAGAGGUUGAUCGGCCACAUUGGGACUGAGACACGGCCCAGACUCCUACGGGAGGCAGCAGUGGGGAAUAUUGCACAAUGGGGGAAACCCUGAUGCAGCAACGCCGCGUGAAGGAUGAAGGUUUUCGGAUCGUAAACUUCUUUGAUGAGGGACGAAAAAUGACGGUACCUCAAGAACAAGCCACGGCUAA
rnacentral:rRNA from 1 species